AUGAUAUUUGUAUAAAAUUUAAUUUAAAAAAAUUUUUAAUUAACAUAACGUAAUAUCGUCUUUUUACAUAAAUAUAUAUACAAAUUUAAAUUUUAGGAUUAAUUGCGAUAGUGUUUAUUAGUGUAAAUGUUUAUCAAACCCAAGUUUACCUCAUAAAAAAGAUGAAAAUAAUAGUUUUUAAACAUCCACCUAUAGAGAAAAGGAAUCUCUAGAUAUAUGUAUGACAAUUAGGCAGACAAUGUAAAUACAUCUUAGAUUUCAUGAGGCGAACUACAAGGAUAACUCGAGCUGAAUGAUGCAACUUCAGAUAUAGAUCAUAUAUUCUAUAAAUAUUGGAAAAUAACAUAAUGAAUAAUAAAAUUGAUGUUAACAUUAUAUUAUUACGAUUACACGAGAAUUUGAAAUUUCGAUUAGGAUCACAUAAAAAUUAUAUUAACGAUGCUGCCUAUAGAUCGAAUCGAUUAUAGAUCAUUAUAAUG